CACGACCAUUUCUACCGAGCAGUUCUCGACACAGACCGAACGAUAGGCAGAUGGUAACCUACUGCGCGUCGGUAACAGACCCCUGGCCUUUUUAAAAUGGCGGAUCGACAGUAACGUAGCCAGUAGUCACGGGGCCAGGGUGUCGAUACUAAGAUGGCAGCACCACACGGAACUUCUUUCGGAUCAUUCCAUUCCGGAUGUUGGUUAAAACGAUACAAAUUGGAGGAUACACAAAGUUCAUAACGAGGUUCUAUGUGGAAGAGUGUUUAGCUCCUAUUGUACAGUCUUUAUAUUAGAAGCAUAUUCCAAGGUAUUCGGUUCAAUAUCUGAAAUUUUCAAUAUAGCAACGAUAGUCACACAAAAAGUAACAAGUUACAUUUCAAAAGGAAUCAAUAUAGUAUAGAACAGUCUCCUGACGUAGGUUAGAGUUAUCCUCUAAUCUUAUAUCCUCAACAAUUGUCUUGUGUGAAGUGGGUUUUAAAGUAGAUAAAGGAAGGUAUUGUAACCCAGUACAGUACUGGGAAUGAUUUGUCUAUCUUAUACAUCCGAUGCAGGGGCAUUGAUAUUCGCUAAAUAAAUAUAUUACAUUAGUCUGUGUAGCAAUA